rnacentral:rRNA from 1 species
CCUACGGGAGUCAGCAGUGGGGAAUAUUGCACAAUGGGGGAAACCCUGAUGCAGCAACGCCGCGUGAGUGAAGAAGUAUUUCGGUAUGUAAAGCUCUAUCAGCAGGGAAGAAAAUGACAGUACCUGACUAAGAAGCCCCGGCUAACUACGUGCCAGCAGCCGCGGUAAUACGUAGGGGGCAAGCGUUAUCCGGAUUUACUGGGUGUAAGGGGAGCGUAGACGGCUGCGCAAGUAAGAAGUGAAAGCCCGGGGCGCAACCGCGGGACUGCUUUUGAAACUGUGUAGCUAGAGUGCAGGAGAGGUAAGUGGAAUUCCUAGUGUAGCGGUGAAAUGCGUAGAUAUUAGGAGGAACACCGGUGGCGAAGGCGGCUUACUGGACUGUAACUGACGUUGAGGCUCGAAAGCGUGGGGAGCAAACAGGAUUAGAUACCCGGGUAGUC